AAUCCAUAGGUUAAUGAGGCGAACCGGGGGAACUGAAACAUCUAAGUACCCCGAGGAAAAGAAAUCAACCGAGAUUCCCCCAGUAGCGGCGAGCGAACGGGGAGGAGCCCAGAGCCUGAAUCAGCAUGUGUGUUAGUGGAAGCGUCUGGAAAGGCGCGCGAUACAGGGUGACAGCCCCGUACACAAAAGCGCAUGUGCUGUGAGCUCGAUGAGUAGGGCGGGACACGUGGUAUCCUGUCUGAAUAUGGGGGGACCAUCCUCCAAGGCUAAAUACUCCUGACUGACCGAUAGUGAACCAGUACCGUGAGGGAAAGGCGAAAAGAACCCCGGCGAGGGGAGUGAAAAAGAACCUGAAACCGUGUACGUACAAGCAGUGGGAGCACAGGUUUACCUGUGUGACUGCGUACCUUUUGUAUAAUGGGUCAGCGACUUAUAUUCUGUAGCAAGGUUAACCGAAUAGGGGAGCCGGAGGGAAACCGAGUCUUAAUUGGGCGUUAAGUUGCAGGGUAUAGACCCGAAACCCGGUGAUCUAGCCAUGGGCAGGUUGAAGGUUGGGUAACACUAACUGGAGGACCGAACCGACUAAUGUUGAAAAAUUAGCGGAUGACCUGUGGCUGGGGGUGAAAGGCCAAUCAAACCGGGAGAUAGCUGGUUCUCCCCGAAAGCUAUUUAGGUAGCGCCUCGUGAAUUCAUCUCCGGGGGUAGAGCACUGUUUCGGCUAGGGGGCCAUCCCGGCUUACCAACCCGAUGCAAACUGCGAAUACCGGAGAAUGUUAUCACGGGAGACACACGGCGGGUGCUAACGUCCGUCGUGAAGAGGGAAACAACCCAGACCGCCAGCUAAGGUCCCAAAGUCAUGGUUAAGUGGGAAACGAUGUGGGAAGGCCCAGACAGCCAGGAUGUUGGCUUAGAAGCAGCCAUCAUUUAAAGAAAGCGUAAUAGCUCACUGGUCGAGUCGGCCUGCGCGGAAGAUGUAACGGGGCUAAACCAUGCACCGAAGCUGCGGCAGCGAACGUAUCACUUAAAGCGAUUCAGCGGGUUACGAUUGACGGAGCGAAGCGACGUCAAAGCGUAUACAAAGUCGAGUCGGUUUAAGGAUACGUUCGUUGGGUAGGGGAGCGUUCUGUAAGCCUGCGAAGGUGGCCUGUGAGGGUUGCUGGAGGUAUCAGAAGUGCGAAUGCUGACAUAAGUAACGAUAAAGCGGGUGAAAAGCCCGCUCGCCGGAAGACCAAGGGUUCCUGUCCAACGUUAAUCGGGGCAGGGUGAGUCGACCCCUAAGGCGAGGCCGAAAGGCGUAGUCGAUGGGAAACGGGUUAAUAUUCCCGUACUUGGUGUUACUGCGAAGGGGGGACGGAGAAGGCUAUGUUGGCCGGGCGACGGUU
rnacentral:rRNA from 2 species